rnacentral:lncRNA from 1 species
UGAAAUUCACUGGGCGUGAGCGUCUUCGACUUUCUCAUACAGUCUUUUCUUGCCACGUGGCAUCCAUGCACGCACCUCCAAUUUCUUUUGGACAGCAAAAUAUCUGUUUUUUUUUUUAAGUUCAAAAUGUAUAAUGUACUUCGAAGAACACAAUUUUACACAUCAUUACAUUCUUACGGCUAUAAAAAUAUAUCAAUAUAGCUAACAUAAGAAAUUUUGAGUUAAAUAGUUUUUAUAUAUAUAUAUAUAUAUAUCGUUAUUCUUUUCUAAUAGGUUAAAAAGAAAAAGAAGUCAUACAAAAAAGAAUCAGAAUGCAAUAAUUAAUCAAUCUAUAUUUACCAUAUACUCAAGGAAACAAACAUAGAGGAGUCAUAUAUCUCCAACUACACGAAUACAUCAAACUCGCAAACUCUGAUCUGUCUACGGUUUCAGCUAACUGAAAAUUAAAGAAAAAACAAAUCUUAAUUUUUUCAAACAUCAGAAAAAGGAAGAAAAUAUUAGAAAGAGAUAAUGUCUCUCUGUGUAUUGAAAAGUGAGAGUUUAACUCAG